rnacentral:rRNA from 1 species
UACAGAGGGUGCGAGCGUUAAUCGGAAUACUGGGCGUAAAGCGUGCGCAGGCGGUUUUGUAAGCCAGAUGUGAAAUCCCCGGGCUUAACCUGGGAAUGGCAUUUGGGACUGCAAGGCUUGAGUGCGGCAGAGGAGACUGGAAUUCCUGGUGUAGCAGUGAAAUGCGUAGAUAUCAGGAGGAACACCGAUGGCGAAGGCAGGUCUCUGGGCUGACACUGACGCUCAUGCACGAAAGCGUGGGGAGCAAACAGG